UACGUAAAGUGCGAGCGUUAAUCGGAAUUACUAAGCGUAAAGCGUGCGCAGGCUGUUUAGUAAGUCAGAUGUGAAAUCCCCGAGCUCAACUUGGGAACUGCGUUUGAAACUACCAGACUAGAAUAUGUCAGAGGGGGGUAGAAUUCCACAUGUAGCAGUGAAAUGCGUAGAGAUGUGAAGGAAUACCGAUAGCGAAGGCAGCCCCCUGGGAUAAUAUUGACGCUCAUGCACGAAAGCGUGGGGAGCGAACAGGAUUAGAUACCCCUGUAGUCC
rnacentral:rRNA from 1 species